rnacentral:rRNA from 1 species
GACGAACGCUGGCGGCGUGCUUAACACAUGCAAGUCGAACGAUGAUGCCCAGCUUGCUGAGUGGAUUAGUGGCGAACGGGUGAGUAACACAUGAGUAACCUGCCCCUGACUCUGGGAUAAGCGUUGGAAACGACGUCUAAUACUGGAUAUGACUGCCGGCCGCAUGGUCUGGUGGUGGAAAGAUUUUUUGGUUGGGGAUGGACUCGCGGCCUAUCAGCUUGUUGGUGAGGUAAUGGCUCACCAAGGCGACGACGGGUAGCCGGCCUGAGAGGGUGACCGGCCAAACUGGGACUGGGACACGGCCCAGACUCCUCCGGGAGGCAGCAGUGGGGAAUAUUGCACAAUGGGCGAAAGCCUGAUGCAGCAACGCCGCGUGAGGGAUGACGGCCUUCGGGUUGUAAACCUCUUUUAGUAGGGAAGAAGCGAAAGUGACGGUACCUGCAGAAAAAGCACCGGCUAACUACGUGCCAGCAGCCGCCGUAA